UACAGAGGGGGCAAGCGUUGUUCGGAAUUACUGGGCGUAAAGGGCGCGUAUGCGGCCUGCUAAGUCGAACGUGAAAUCCCCGGGCUCAACCCGGGAACUGCGUCCGAUACUGGCUGGCUUGAAUCCGGGAGAGGGAUGCGGAAUUCCCGGUGUAGCAGUGAAAUGCGUAGAGAUCGGGAGGAACACCAGUGGCGAAGGCGGCUUACUGGUCCGGAACUGACGCUGAGGUGCGAAAGCGUGGGGAGCAAACAGG
rnacentral:rRNA from 1 species